AGAGUUUGAUCCUGGCUCAGAUUGAACGCUGGCGGCGUGCUUAACACAUGCAAGUCGAACGAUGAACCUCCUUCGGGAGGGGAUUAGUGGCGAACGGGUGAGUAACACGUGGGCAAUCUGCCUGCACUCUGGGACAAGCCCUGGAAACGGGGUCUAAUACCGGAUACGACUGUCUCGGGCAUCCGAUGACGGUGGAAAGC
rnacentral:rRNA from 1 species